CUACGGGAGGCUGCAGUGGGGAAUAUUGCACAAUGGAGGAAACUCUGAUGCAGCAACGCCGCGUGGAGGAUGACACAUUUCGGUGCGUAAACUCCUUUUAUAUAAGAAGAUGAUGACGGUAUUAUAUGAAUAAGCACCGGCUAACUCCGUGCCAGCAGCCGCGGUAAUACGGGGGGUGCAAGCGUUACUCGGAAUCACUGGGCGUAAAGCGAGCGCAGGCGGGUAGAUAAGUUGGAAGUGAAAUCCUAUGGCUUAACCAUAGAACUGCUUCCAAAACUGUUUACCUAGAAUAUGGGAGAGGUAGAUGGAAUUUCUGGUGUAGGGGUAAAAUCCGUAGAGAUCAGAAGGAAUACCGAUUGCGAAGGCGAUCUACUGGAACAUUAUUGACGCUGAGGCUCGAAAGCGUGGGGAGCAAACAGGAUUAGAUACCCUGGUAGUC
rnacentral:rRNA from 1 species